UACAGAGGCCCCAAGCAUUAUCCGGAAUCACUGGGCGUAAAGGGUGUGUAGGCGGUCGUAUUAGUCCUUCGUAAAAGCACUGGGGCUUAACCCCGGUAAUGCGGUGGAAACGGUACGACUUCGAGGACGCGAGAGGUAAGGGAACUCGAUGGUGUAGGGGUGAAAUCCGUUGAUAUCAUGGGGAACACCAAAUGCGAAGGCACCUUACUGGCGCGC
rnacentral:rRNA from 1 species